rnacentral:rRNA from 1 species
GACGAACGCUGGCGGCGUGCUUAACACAUGCAAGUCGAACGGAAAGGCCCUGCUUUUUUGCGGUCCUCGGGUGGCGACCGGGGGAGUUACCCGUGAGUACCCUACCCUUGACUUUGGUGUAACUUCAUGAAACUGGGGCUAAUAACGGCUAGGAGCUACUGCUGAAUGGUGGGGGUUGGAAAGUUUCGGCGGUUGGGGAUGUACUCGCGGCUUAUCAGCUUGAUGGUUGGGUAGUGGAUUACCAUGGCUUUGACGGGUAGCCGGCCUGAGCGGGUGACAGGACACAUUGGGACUGAGAUACGGCCCAGACUCGUACGGGAGGCAGCAGAGGGGAAUAGUGCACAAGGGGCGGAAGCCUGAUGUAGCAACGCCGCGUGCGGGAUGACGGCAUGCGGGUUGUAAACCGCUUUCGCCUGUGACGAAGCGUGAGUGACGGUAAUGGGUAAAGAAGCACCGGCUAACUACGUG